CCCAGAUAUUUUUAUUUAAUCAAUCUAGAUGGAAGCUCAGGGAUCUGUAAUUUUCUAAAAGCUCCUCAGGUGGUUGUAAUGUAACUCUAGCUUUCAGAAACAUUAAUUAGUGAUGAUAUGGUUUGGAUGUGUGUCCCUGCCCAAACCUUAUGUGGAGUUGUAAUCCCCAGUGUUGAAGGAGGAGAGGGCUAGUGGGAGGUGAUAGAAUCAUGGGGGUGGAUUUCCCUGCUGUUCUUGUGAUAGUGAGUGAGUUCUCAUGAGAUCCGGUUGUUUAAAAAUGUGUAGCACCUUCCUCUGCUCUCUCUUCCUCCUUCUCCAGCCACGUAAGAUGUGCCUGCUUCCCUUCGCCUUCUGCCAUGAUUGUAAGUUUCCUGAGGCCUCCACAACGAUGCUUUCUAUAGAGCCUGUAUUACAAACACUGUCUUUUUAGAAAACUUCUUAGUUGCCUUGAAAAUCUUGAAAAACCUUUCAGAAUAGAAAAAUGUAUUUCACAUGAAAUCUUUUGCAGAGUAAACCCACUGAAAUUCCCUGUGACCUAGUAAACACAAAGUGUAAUCAAUUAAUUUAGUAAUAAAAUUUAGAUUUGUGUGAAGGUUUGUUAAUCUGCCUUUAUAUACUAAAAACUAAAAUAUUCUCUUUUUUGGAAAAUUAAGACAUGACAUUUUCAUUCCUCUUGUACUUCUUGUGUGCUCCAAGAUUUUUAAAUAUCCCUUAUGGCAUUUCUGAGAAUAAUCUUCAA
rnacentral:lncRNA from 10 species